UGGGCUGGGGCUUAGUGGUAGAGCAAUUGCCUGGCAUGUAUGAGGCACUGGGUUCGUUUCUCAGCACCACAU
rnacentral:tRNA from 1 species